rnacentral:tRNA from 1 species
CGGUAGUUCAAUUGGCAGAGCACCGGUCUCCAAAACCGGUUGUUGGGGGUUCGAAUCCCUCCCG